rnacentral:rRNA from 1 species
UACGAGAGGCCCAAACGUUAUUCGGAUUUACUGGGCUUAAAGAGUUCGUAGGCGGCGCGGAAAGUAGGGUGUGAAAGCCCUCGGCUCAACCGAGGAAUUGCGCUCUAAACUACCGUGCUAGAGGAAGCUAGAGGUGAGCGGAACUGAUGGUGGAGCGGUGAAAUGCGUUGAUAUCAUCAGGAACACCGAUAGUGAAGACAGCUAACUAAGCUUUAACUGACGCUGAGGCACGAAAGUGUGGGGAUCAAACAGG